rnacentral:rRNA from 1 species
UACGGAGGGUGCAAACGUUGCUCGGAAUCAUUGGGCGUAAAGCGCACGUAGGCGGCCGACUAAGUCGGGUGUGAAAGCCCAGGGCUCAACCCUGGAAGUGCACUCGAAACUGACCGGCUUGAAUAUGGAAGAGGGUCGCGGAAUUCCCGGUGUAGAGGUGAAAUUCGUAGAUAUCGGGAGGAACACCAGUGGCGAAGGCGGCGACCUGGGCCAAUAUUGACGCUGAGGUGCGAAAGCGUGGGGAGCAAACAGG